rnacentral:rRNA from 1 species
UGGGGAAUAUUGCACAAUGGGCGAAAGCCUGAUGCAGCAACGCCGCGUGAGUGAUGAAGGUCUUCGGAUUGUAAAGCUCUGUCUUUUGGGACGAUAAUGACGGUACCAAAGGAGGAAGCCACGGCUAACUACGUGCCAGCAGCCGCGGUAAUACGUAGGUGGCGAGCGUUGUCCGGAUUUACUGGGCGUAAAGGGUGCGUAGGCGGAUGUUUAAGUGAGAUGUGAAAUACCCGGGCCUAACUUGGGUGCUGCAUUUCAAACUGGAUAUCUAGAGUGCAGGAGAGGAGAAUGGAAUUCCUAGUGUAGCGGUGAAAUGCGUAGAGAUUAGGAAGAACACCAGUGGCGAAGGCGAUUCUCUGGACUGUAACUGACGCUGAGGCACGAAAGCGUGGGUAGCAAACAGGAUUAGAUACCCUGGUAGUCCACGCCGUAAACGAUGAGUACUAGGUGUAGGAGGUAUCGACCCCUUCUGUGCCGCAGUAAACACAUUAAGUACUCCGCCUGGGAAGUACGAUCGCAAGAUUAAAACUCUAAAGUGAAUUGACGGGGGUC